AUUGAACGCUGGCGGCAGGCCUAACACAUGCAAGUCGAACGAGUGGCGGACGGGUGCGUAAUGUCUGGGCAACUGCCUGAUGGAGGGGGAUAACUACUGGAAACGGUAGCUAAUACCGCAUACCAUCGGAUGUGCCCCGAUGGGAUUAGCUAGUAGGUGUGGUAAAGGAGCACCUAGGCGAAGAUCCCUAGCUGGUCUGAGAUGAUGACCAGCCAACCUGGAACUGUGAUCCGGUCAAGACUGCGAAGGGAGGCAGCAGUGGGGAAUAUUGCACAAUGGGCGCAAGCCUGAUGAAGCGAUGCCGCGUGUAUGAAGAAGGCCUUCGGGUUGUAAAGUACUUUCAGCGGGGAGGCGGUACCCGCAGAAGAAGCACCGGCUAACUCCGUGCCAGCAGCCGCGGUAAUUC
rnacentral:rRNA from 1 species